rnacentral:rRNA from 1 species
GACGAACGCUGGCGGCGUGCUUAACACAUGCAAGUCGAACGGAAAGGCCCUGCUUUUGUGGGGUGCUCGAGUGGCGAACGGGUGAGUAACACGUGAGUAACCUGCCCUUGACUUUGGGAUAACUUCAGGAAACUGGGGCUAAUACCGGAUAGGAGCUCCUGCUGCAUGGUGGGGGUUGGAAAGUUUCGGCGGUUGGGGAUGGACUCGCGGCUUAUCAGCUUGUUGGUGGGGUAGUGGCUUACCAAGGCUUUGACGGGUAGCCGGCCUGAGAGGGUGACCGGCAACAUUGGGACUGAGAUACGGCCCAGAAUCCUACGGGGGGCAGCAGUGGGGAAUAUUGCACAAUGGGCGGAAGCCUGAUGCAGCAACGCCGCGUGCGGGAUGACGGCCUUCGGGUUGUAAACCGCUUCCGCCUGUGACGAAGCGUGAGUGACGGUAAUGGGUAAAGAAGCACCGGCUAACUACGUG